rnacentral:snoRNA from 1 species
CUCUCCCAUAUGAUGAAUUAUUCCGGAUGUAAAUCAUGUCACUGCGGAAAAGCGCAAAAACGAUGUCGAAAUUUCCGUUGCCUUCCUUCUGAUCUGGGAGA